rnacentral:sRNA from 1 species
AAGAGCAGUGAUGAAAAG